CACCGCGCAUUCCCCUCCGCCCCCCGGUCUCGGCAGUCAGGUGCCGCCCCGCCUCCGCCGCACUGCCGCCGCCUGCCCCUGCCUCCGCUCCGCCGCGCCACCAAAGCAGAGGACCGCCGGCUCCGACUCCUCGCGCAGCUACUCCGCGCACCACUGCUCCUGCUUGGCCUGCAAGCCUCGCCGAAUCGAAAUAGAAGAUGAAGAGGGCUUUUUCAUCGGUGCCCGCAGUGGGAGUGUCUACACCCUAUAGUUUGAGCUCAGGGGGAUCAGGGAGUGUACUUGCAAGUAUUGACGAAUGACGAUGAUGAUAUUUUAUAUCGUUUUCAGUCCUAUAGGUCCCACAAAGGGGUUUUUACCUCCUGCUGUAGUGGUGUUGCUACUUCUUCUACCUUGAUCAGGUCAUGGGAGACACAUAAGAAGCAAACCAUUAAUUUGGAGGAGAGCACGAAGUUCUUUGAGGAGCUUAAUAUUCACAGGGAUGCUCCCGGCAAGCUCGUUGUGCGAGAGCUCAAGGGCCACCAAGGUCCUCAAAGCCGAGAAGUCAAGAGACUCAAGUGUCCCUCUCAGCCGCAUCCCCGGCAGGGAGAUGGCGGCAAUCACCGGCCAGCGCCCACCACACCGGAUGCCUUGCCAACGGCAAGGUGCUGAGAUGUUUUCCCAGGAUCGCAGGGCGUCUUGGCUUUGCUGACUGAGGCUGGCUUUCCAGGCAAGAAGUGCCCCUGCUUGUUGUUCAAGUGAUGGCAGCGCUCCAGCGGCUGAGACGAGUGCGGUGGUGCACAUCAUCAGUAUGGUGAGAGAGGCAAGUAUUUUGGAAGCCAAGGGCGCCAUGGCAAGGAUAGGAAUUGAUUCUGCUUCUGCGUCUGCUGGAGGGUUCACCUUAAAUCAUUGCACCAAAUAUUGCCGCUGCCUCGUUCCCUGCAGGGAGUAUGACUGAUUAACCACCCCUCCUUUCUGUCCCUCUCGUUCCUUUAUUAAUCUUCAUGAUAAGAUUUGACCCGCUCUCUGAUACAUUUCUCUUUUCUUUUCUUGACAUAGAUUAUGACACCUGUUCUUUCAAAGUCAAAGUUACAGAACCCAAACAUGUACGCACCCAGAAAAGGAAACCAGAAAGAAGGUGCCACAACACAAACACACCCCUAGAGGACCUGGUGCAAAGAAGACCAUCGCCGCCGGAGAAGAGAGGGACAUGACGCUGCUCACCCAGGUUCGGAGGAACACCAUUGCGGACGGCACUACUCCCUCCGUCCCAGAAAGCUUGUCCCAAGCUUGUUUCUUAAAUGGAUGUAUCUAGCACUAACUUGGUGCUAGAUACAUCCAUUUGAUGGACAAGCUUUUUCGGACGGAGGGAGUACUUUUCUGACUCGAUUAAACGGUACACCGCAAGCGGCAGAAUUGGGGCGAUGUGGCUCGGCGGCUGGGUACUUUCCUUGUGUCCACUGUUCUGCCGUCUUGACAGUGGCGAAGCUACAUGUAGUCUGUGAUGUCCAGCGACAUCACAGAAAUGUGCUUAGAAGUUGACCCCGGGUAUGUUUAAGUGUAUAUGUUUACAUACAUGGGCAGUUUUGAGCUGUUCCACUGGCUUCAAUUGCUAGCGCUACCACCGCCGUCUUCACUUGACGCUGGUGAAGAAGAAAAGUGGGCCUGCCUGCUAUGAAGUAACUAUACGCCUGGUACCCUCAGCUUAUGUUGCAUUUUGUGGAAUUUGUCUUCCUAUUUGGCAAAUGGGGGGAGCGGUGGAAGUCAUUAAUGGACAAGUGGUUACUGGUCACGUCGCCCUACUCAUCGAUGAUUAAUCAGAACAUGACGUGCUUCUACGGGCUGCGCGCUGCUUCAAACCCGGCCGUGGCGUGAGGAGGAGGAAGCUGAAUCUUCCCUUCCGCGCUGGCUGUUGGGUAUGGAGCAAGCGUCAUAUUGGGGCUCCCCAGCCUCCAAAUAUGGAGGCUAUUGAGGUCGUUUAUGGAAUGACUCUGCUAUAGUGUCAUUUUGGUUUAAAAUCAUUAUAUUGACAGUUAUUGCGAUCAUGGACAUAUGACGACUCUGCUAAAGUUGCUCUUAGCCAAAUAAGAGAUGAGGAUAGCUCACUUGGGUGAGAUUAUCUAAGUUGACCUCUUCGAGGACACAAAUUAGGAUUCAUAUUUAUACCGUACUCUUGAAAUAGCAUUUACUCUUAUCUAUUACAAGUUUCCUGUUCAUGUCCUAUCGACUGCCAAAAGAAUUGAAUGUUCACCAACCGUCGCUCAUGUGAAUGAUGCUUCCCUUGUAUAUAUAUAUAUAUAUGCCACUCCAUGGACCAUUGUUGUUCUAUUCAAUUUAACACAUUGGUAGCACUAACCUAGUACACUGGAUACUUGGUGAUGAGAUAUCAAAUUGAGCAGACAAUGAGAGGAGAAUUACAUUACAUAGAUGUCACAACAUGUACGUGGGAACGAGAGACAUCCGGAAUAGCCAGGAGAGCAAUAUCUUUAGGUUGGUCAGUGACCAAGGGCGAUGCUUGACCAUUAAGCUAAAUAGUAUCUUUCGCUUUCAACAUUUUACUACCGUUACAGCCUGCCUUUGGAGCUGUGGUUGCACUGUAGCUCCCUCUUAUCCCCUGGCACCGACGGUCAGCUUCAUCGACCGCGAGCCCAUCCGCUUCUCCUUUACGCGAGUGCAUACUUGUGCUCAUGGCGGCUAGCUGGAGCGCUGGCAUCUUGUUCACAAAGGCAGUCCGCACUGCUACGUCUUAUUGCUUGUCAUAGCCACAAGAGGAGAGCACGGAGUUCUUCGAGGAGGUUAAUAUUCACUGUGAUGCUCCCAGGAAGCUCAUCGUGUGAGAGCUCAAGGGCUACCAAGGUCCACAAAGCGGCAAUGUCAAGAGACUCAAGUUUCCUCCUCAGCCGCAUCCCCGGCAGGAAGAUGGUGGUGAUCAUUGGCGCCCCCGCACCGGUCGCCCCGGCAACGGCAAAGUGUUGACAUGUUUCCCUAGGAUCGCAGGGUGUCUUGGCUUUGCAGACUGGGGCUGGCUUUUCAGGGAAGAAGUGGCCCUGCUUGUUGUUCGAGUGAUGGCAGCGCUCGAGCGGCUGAGAAGAGUGCGGUAGUAGACUAGCCACAGUGGGAGUAAUAUCACUAGUAACACCACAAUUUUCAAGAUAAUUUUGCUUAUGUGGCACAUAUUUAAUGAUGAGAGAGAUGAUGGUGAUAACUUAGCUAGUUACUGUAACAUCACACAU